rnacentral:rRNA from 1 species
AACGAACGCUGGCGGCAGGCUUAACACAUGCAAGUCGAACGCAUCCUUCGGGGUGAGUGGCAGACGGGUGAGUAACGCGUGGGAACGUGCCCUUCAGUUCGGAAUAACCCAGGGAAACUUGGGCUAAUACCGGAUACGUGCGAGAGCAGAAAGAUUUAUCGCUGAAGGAUCGGCCCGCGUCUGAUUAGCUAGUUGGUGGGGUAAUGGCCCACCAAGGCGACGAUCAGUAGCGGUCUGAGAGGAUGAUCAGCCACAUUGGGACUGAGACACGGCCCAAACUCCUACGGGAGGCAGCAGUGGGGAAUAUUGGACAAUGGGCGCAAGCCUGAUCCAGCCAUGCCGCGUGAGUGAUGAAGGCCUUAGGGUU